UCAACCGUUACUAAAAAUUACCUAUAAUCGUUGCAUAAAAUUGUCUAGUCUAUUAGCACAAAAAUUAAUAGAACCGUCGCAAUAUACUUGAAAACCGUCGCAAUAGGAUAUUCUAUGGUCACGGUUUUAAGAACCGUCGCCAUAGAUAAUUUUUAGCCACGUUUUUUUUUGACAAAAAAUUAUAUUUACCGAAAAUUUUCUCUCCAACAUUUUAUUUACCCGCUUAUUUUAAUUAUAUUAAUUUUCUUUAAAAAAACAUUUCAAUAUUUUGGCUCUAGUUAGGGUUUAGAAAGCCCCAAAUUGAUAAUACGCCAACACUUUCUUCAUUCAUCCUCUCGUAAAUUCUUCAACAUCAGGGACUUCAAUUCUUCUCUUCGUCAAUUCUUCAAGGAAUCGUUACAUUGAGAAACAAUUCUUCUUCUAUUGAAAAAAUUGUUGAAGUGAAAGACACUUGGUUGUUCUAUUGAGAAAUCCGUUACAUUAAUUGUUGUUCUACUCAUCUUCUUCUCCGCUCAAUUCGGUGUGAAUCGUUCAACCUUGGUGUCUUCCCUACAACAGCGUCUUUGUAAAGGGAGGUUGGGAAAAGGAUGAAACAAUUGAAGUUACUGCAAGGCGCGAGACAAUAGAGGAAGCUGGUGUUUGUGGUGAUAUCAAAGGAAAAACUAGGAACGUUGUACUUCGAGAAUAAAAGUGGUGACACUGCUUACAAAGGGCACCUGUUUCCCUUAUUUGUGAUGGAGGAACUAGAUUUAUGGCCGGAGAAAGACACCCGCGAAAGAUCUAAGACAUCCGCGAAAGAUCUGCUAUGAGCGUGCGAUAAGCAAGAAAGCUCUGCCAACAGGGCUUGAUGAAAGAAGCCUUGGAGUUGUUAGUUAGUCGCCUCACGUCACAAUGUAGGCGGACUAAAAUGGACCUGUUUUCAAGAAUCACCCGUAGCUCAGUUGGCCAUGGAACUAUUUUGCAGUUAGGAGGCAGGGCACAAGUACUCGCUCAACCACCACCACCUACUCCGACAGAUGAGGCCUAGUCUCCAUCAGCCAAGGGCCACUUCCAAAGGCAGAAUGUGAAAGAGUCUUCACGGAACGAGGAUGUGAUUUUUGUUUGACAAUCCUUGGCAGCCGGAGUUCCCUACGGGCUCACAGAGAAUCCUGCAUAUCGCAUCCGAAUAAUAAUGUAUGUAAAAUUAAUUCUAGCUAUGAUAGACUCAAGUCCCUCGUAUUUGUCUCAUCUAGUAAAUAAGACCAGAUGAUAGCCACACUUUCUUCCUCAAAUCUACAAAGCUAUCUCUUCUCUCUAGCUACUCAAGACUAUAGAGUCUCAAAUCUACAAUUGCUGGAAUUAUUACAGGAAGAGUUAUCGACCACUUUUAAAAGAAAAUGGCUUCUUCUGCAUUUUAAAGUUGGUGAUGCUACCUCUCUGCUCAUCUGUACUAGUUUUGAAUUUUGUAAUUGUUCCAUGAUCACGUCUCUACACGUUAGCUUCCAUAGUCUGUUUUUUUUCUUAUAACACUGGUGUUCAGUCCCACGUGUGUGUAGCUUGACUUUUCAGUGAGUACCUCCUAUCUCCCGCUAGCAUAGUUACCGGGUAACUCCAACUACUGGAUAUGUUUAGUUGUCUUUAAACAUAUUUAGUGAUUUAUAGAAUAUUGAAUCCUGUUGACGCUAUAAGAUAGGAGUAACAUUUAUCUAUUUUCUUUUAAGUAUAGUUUAUCAAUGUGAUCAUGUUCUAUCACAAAUUUAACCUCCUCCAUAGAAUCAUCUGAAUGCCAGUUAUGAUCUUUUGUUUCUCCUUCAUUAACAUAAUAGAAUGCACUUGAUGUUUAUGAAUGUCGUGCUUACACUUUCUUGUUUGCGUUCACUUGCCUUGUCUUGUCCAUGUGAAGGGAAGCCUUAUAGAAUAAGGAAGCUCGCCACUGAAGAUUACUGGGGUAUUCAGUGGCAAUGUGAUGAUUCCCUGAGUCUCCGUAUAAGAAUUUGUAUUUGUGGCACAUUCUGCUUUGGGAAAGAAAUGAAUACAUGGACAAUUGCUUGGCUAAAGGGCUUUGAAUCUCCAUUUUUUGCUCUGUAGUAUUUGCAAGAUCAUAAUUAUCUCAGGAAAAUCGUAGUUGAAGAUCAUCCAAGUCAACCAAAGUUGACAUUAUGAUAGAAGAGGUGAUCAUGACAUAGAAGAUGGCGGGAACGAAAUUGAUGAACUAGACCUGACUUAAGCGAUUGAUCACAUUGGCUUCACGUCACACUAGUAGUUGAAAAACUUGUGUAUGUUCUGAUUGAGAUCGAUCACAUUUGAUUGAGUAGAUUCAAACAUCUUUUAUUUUUGAACAUUCAAAACUA